rnacentral:misc_RNA from 1 species
GCAAACUUGGUCAUUUAGAGGAAGUAAAAGUCGUAACAAGGUUUCCGUAGGUGAACCUGCGGAAGGAUCAUUAAUGGGUUUUUGCUUGUGAAGGGUUGUAGCUGGCCGUUCGGCAUGUGCACGCCUGGAUCGUAUGCAAUCCACUUCUUCUCUCAAACACCUGUGCACAACUGUAGCUUACGGGCAUGCCUGUCCGUUUGCUAUGCGUUUUUCUAUACACACCCCGUAAUAAAGUUCUUUGUGGAUCGUUUGUAAUAAAUAACAACUUUCAGCAACGGAUCUCUUGGCUCUCGCAUCGAUGAAGAACGCAGC